GGAGUCGCAGCAGUAGCUAUGGCAGCUCUUAAACGGACCCCUUGCGCGUGAGUAAGAAUAAUACAAAAAUGUGUGUGUAUAUUAUAUACAUUUUUUUUUUUUUUUAAAUAUUCACCGUCAUGUAUUAAUAUUGCGUAAUAAUAUUAUGAAAAAAAAAAAAAAAAAUAAUAAUAAUAAUAUAACGGUCCGCCGCACGAUAUUCGUCGCCUGUUUCCGUUUGUUUAACGUCGUCGUAUAUUUAUAAUAGCAU